rnacentral:rRNA from 1 species
UACGUAGGGACCGAGCGUUAUCCGGAUUCAUUGGGCGUAAAGAGCUCGUAGGCGGCUAUUCAAGUCGAACGUGAAAUCUCGGAGCUCAACUCCGAGCCUGCGUUCGAUACUGGGUAGCUAGAGUCUGGUAGGGGGAUCUGGAAUUCCUGGUGUAGCGGUGAAAUGCGUAGAGAUCAGGAAGAACAUCGGUGGCGAAGGCGCUCUGCUGGACCAUAACUGACACUCAGGGACGAAAGCUAGGGGAGCGAAUGGG